AUGGCAUCUUCAUCUCUAUCAGUCGUGUUGAUCCUGUGCCUGGCCGCGGCGGCGUUGGCGCAGCUGUCGACGACGUUCUACAACAAGUCGUGCCCUUUGGCUCUUGAAAAAAUCCAGAACAGCGCGGCGACGGCCGUGAAGAACGACCGCCGCAUGGCCGCGUCGCUGCUCCGGAUGCAUUUUCAUGACUGCUUUGUCCAGGGCUGUGACGCGUCCGUUCUGUUGAAUGAGACUAGCGUGGGUGGCAACGAGCGGGGGGCAUUCGGGAAAGUGGGAUCGCUGCGUGGCUUCGAGGUCAUUGAACAAAUAAAGAAGGAUGUAGAAGCCGUAUGCGGCCCCGUCGUCUCCUGCGUUGACAUCCUUGCCGUCGCCGCCCCGAAUAAUCGUGCAUGCGUGGGAGGGCCGUCGUGGGAGGUUAAACUGGGGAGGAGGGACUCCACCACGGCUAGCGUGACACAGGCCAACCAGAACCUGCCUGUGCCGUUCUUGGGAGUCGCCGGCCUCAAUGCUAGCUUCGUCAGCAAGGGGUUCAACUUGACCGACAUGGUCGCCCUCUCCGGCGCCCACACCAUCGGGAGGGCGCAGUGCCAGAACUUCAGGGGCAGGCACUACAACGAGUCCAACAUCAACACGACCUACGCAACCAAGCUAAAGCUCAACUGCCCCAGUCCGGCGACCAACCUGGCCCCGCUCGACGACGACACAGCGGUCGCCCCGAACCCGGAGUUGUUCAACAACGACUACUUCAUCAACCUCCAGUCCAAGAAGGGCCUCCUUCACUCCGACCAGGUGUUGUACAACGCCACCGCAGCCGGCUGUGCCACCAAGGACAUCAUUAAGUCCCUAGGCCGCCUUCUUUAG
rnacentral:rRNA from 1 species